rnacentral:rRNA from 1 species
UACGAAGGGGGCUAGCGUUGCUCGGAAUCACUGGGCGUAAAGCGCACGUAGGCGGAUUGUUAAGUCAGGGGUGAAAUCCUGGAGCUCAACUCCAGAACUGCCUUUGAUACUGGCGAUCUCGAGUCCGGGAGAGGUGAGUGGAACUCCGAGUGUAGAGGUGAAAUUCGUAGAUAUUCGGAAGAACACCAGUGGCGAAGGCGGCUCACUGGCCCGGUACUGACGCUGAGGUGCGAAAGCUAGGGGAGCAAACGGG